CGUCCGCGGUUGACGAUGUCAUGAUGGUCGCUCUUUAUUUAUUCGGAGUUAUUUAUUCAGUGGCCGAAUACAUGUGGUUGCAAUGGUUGUAGCGUUAUUGCGUUGUAACAUGUUUGUGGGUGUGGUGUGUUCGUGUGUGUCAUACGUACUGGUCGCAUCAUUGGUAGUGACGGCAAGUGGAUGUGAAAGUAGUGAAAGUAGUAGUUCUACGUUAUGUGUGUCAGAUGCCUUGCACUCUCUUUCCUUUUUUGUUGUUUGCGUCGAAGAACUCGCAGUCACGUUGUGCGUACAUUCCUCGUUGACGUGAUCGUGAGCUACGAACAGUACUGAAUCACUAGUGUCCACGUGCCAGCUGAUUGGUAAUGGGGUCUAACCACCCAAGGUGAUCCAGCUGGUUGCAGGGGUUAGCAAAAAGAUGCGGGGUGUCUCAUCUGGUAAAGUCGAUGCGUCUUAUUGUGCCCUGCACAGUCGAUCUGGUGUCGCUUGCGCAGUGCGCUUGUUAUGUGGUCCGGUUUAGGAGUUCAAUUUGUGAACUGCUGCCGCUUUUUACCUAACAGCGUUCAUCGUUCUGUUCAACGGCGUUGUUUUGUUGCGUGGUAGGUGCCAAGACAAGGAAAGCAGCGCUAGCUCGUGAGAAAAGGCACAGGAUUCGAGCGGCGAAAGUUUCAACGUAGAAAAGCCCCUUCUUGACAAUCCACUAAGACAUGGAGCAUGGUCAACUUCUACCACAGGUUGGAGAUGCAGAACCAGCAGCAAGUAACGCAUUUCUCGGCUCAAAGAGGUUGGCAUCAAAGAGUUUUUCUGCCAGCAGGGAGACACUCUUGAGGGUAAAUGCCAUCGCGAUGACAGACAUUCUCCUGCCGUCCUGGGCAACGAGCCGUUCAUUUGCCAACCGCAGCUCCAUCAGUUCUUGGCCAGCAGCC
rnacentral:lncRNA from 1 species